rnacentral:rRNA from 1 species
GAAGCCCAUCGCAUAACCUCCCGGGCUACCCAGCCUGCGGCGGAAUGUUGCGUAAAGGGAAAGGUCGUUUCAAAGCCCUGCACAGCGUGUACCUAAAUUUGGCUUGAGUGUUUCCACUGAUCUUUAACGGGAUCUACGGUACCACAGAGGGUGACAGUCCCGUCUGGCCACGUUAUACAUGUGCAUGGGUUCGGCCUCAUUCCCUGAGAGUCGCGUUGCUUGAGCAUGCAGCGCAAAGCAGGUCGUAAACUCGACCUAAGGCUAAAUACAUCCACAAAACCGAUAGUGAACAAGUACCGUGAGGGAAAGUUGAAAAGCACUCUGAAGAGAGAGUCAAAAGACCGUGAAACCGCUCAGUGUAUAAGCCGAUGGUUUUUGGAAAGCUGGGUCCGCGUGAGCCCCUGGGCGACCGUAUCGUUGUGUGUUGAGGUCCAAUGCCGUUGUGGGCCGUUAUUGAGUUGACAGGCACUAGAAGAAUACUCACGGGUCUCUGACAGUGGUAACAGGGGAUGGCUUCAUAAGGGGCCGCCCCGAGGCUGGGCUUGAGUGAGCGGGCAUUGUGCACACACAAAAACGAGUGGGCUUUUAACAGCUCACCACAACUCUUUGAGGGGUCCCCCACGCGAGGCGAUGUUUGUGCUGGAACAGUGGUGACCUGUGGAUCACUUCGUCCAUUUGUCCAGGGCGACCUGUUCUGAUCGUUUCCAGACGUGUGGUUGGUUUGAUCCCCUGCGAAGGUUGCUUUCUGACCACUCUUGGGUAUGAACGUCAGCCUCGGUGACUGGUGGUUCGGAUGAAGCUCCUGCUUAGAGGCGCCGGGGGGGUUUCGUUUACUCUGGGUGAUUGGUGACUAAUUCCGGAGCCAUCGGUCACGUCUCGAAACACGGGCCAAGGAGCAUAGCAUGUGCGCAAGUCGAAGGGUCUCACAAAACCCGGAGGCGAAGUGAAAGCAAGAAGGUGUGUCUGUUCAAGCUGCCGUCGUAGCGAGGGCAGACAGCUCGGGGCUCUAUGUAAUUCUCGCUUGGAUGUAUGCAUUCCCAGCUGAUACCGAGCUGAUCCGCCGUUAGCAAGCGAAUUCGCGCAACGGCGGCGCAAGCUCCAGGCUCUCCACAUUGCGUCUGACGUGAGUGGGAGCACUGUGGAGCGUKCAUGCUAUGACCCGAAAGAUAGUGAACUAUGCCUGGCGA